UACGGAGGGUGCAAGCGUUAAUCGGAAUUACUGGGCGUAAAGCGCACGUAGGUGGCUUGAUAAGUUGGGUGUGAAAUCCCCGGGCUUAACCUGGGAAUUGCAUUCAAGACUGUCUUGCUAGAGUGUGGAAGAGGGAAGCGGAAUUCCAGGUGUAGCGGUGAAAUGCGUAGAUAUCUGGAGGAACAUCAGUGGCGAAGGCGGCUUCCUGGUCCAACACUGACACUGAGGUGCGAAAGCGUGGGGAGCAAACAGG
rnacentral:rRNA from 1 species